rnacentral:rRNA from 1 species
CCUACGGGGGGCUGCAGUGAGGAAUAUUGGUCAAUGGACGAGAGUCUGAACCAGCCAAGUAGCGUGAAGGAUGACUGCCCUAUGGGUUGUAAACUUCUUUUAUAAAGGAAUAAAACGAGGCACGUGUGCCUUUUUGCAUGUACUUUAUGAAUAAGGAUCGGCUAACUCCGUGCCAGCAGCCGCGGUAAUACGGAGGAUCCGAGCGUUAUCCGGAUUUAUUGGGUUUAAAGGGAGCGUAGAUGGGUUGUUAAGUCAGUUGUGAAAGUUUGCGGCUCAACCGUAAAAUUGCAAUUGAUACUGGCAGUCUUGAGUACAGUUGAGGGAGGCGGAAUUCGAGGUGUAGCGGUGAAAUGCUUAGAGAUCACGAAGAACCCCGAUUGCGAAGGCAGCUUACUAAACUGUGACUGACAUUGAUGCUCGAAAGUGUGGGUAGCAAACAGGAUUAGAUACCCGAGUAGUC